GGCUGGGAGGGCGAGGAGGACGAGGAGAGCAGCAGCAGCGCGGCCGGGUCCUCCUCCUCCUCCUCGUCCUCCCCCGCCAGCAGCUCCUCCUCCUCCUCCUCCAGCUCCAGCCCCUUAGCCUCUUCAAGUGGCGGGUGAAAAUUUUCAGGCAAAACACAAAGAAACUUGUUUGAAAACGUGAUCGCCGAGAGUCAGGAAUGGGAAAGGACGCCUUGACUCUGAGGUGAAAUGGUGAGCCGGGAGUGAAGACCGCUGGCUCCUGGUUUGUGGGCCCGGGCAGACAGCCCGGGGAGGAAGACAAAGCAGAGGGUGACACGGUCCUCCACAAAAACAGGCUGGAAAAUGGUCUUCAACAGCGGCCUUCAGGCUUGGCGUGAGGGCAGCAGGGUUGUUCUUGACGUAGUCAAGGAAAGCCAGGUGCAAAUGGUUGAAAUACGAACGUCGGAGCAAGAAUUGGGGUGGGGUAGCUGCUCCCUGAAGAUGUUAUGCUGAGAAAAGUUUCUGGGGAAAAAUCCAACUCUACGUUACAGAUGCCAGCGUCGUUCCCAGUGCUGGGAAAGGGAGACACCAGGGUAGGAGCGUGGGCUGGCAGAGGUGAAAAGUUCUGUAUUCACCACGUAGCUGUGAGCCUGCAGACAACCGUGAGAUGCGAGAGGGACAGCAGGUCUUUAGCUGGGGUAGAAAGGCGGAGGUCUGCAGUGGAAGAAUCGCUCUGCGCACCGUCGGCCAGGGAAGGGGAGGUUUCCAAGAGAGGAGCAUGAUUUGCUGUGCCACAGGUGGCUGAUGGGUCCAGGAGAAGGAGGAUGGGUCUGGCAAGCGUGGCAAAGCCCGUAGGGUGCCGGGGGGGAAGGCUUUUGAAAAGAAACGAGGUCUGAACCAGAGGAAAAGCUCUCCAGACGGCAGCGGUUGGACUCAGCACGUGUUGUUCUCGGCAGCCAGAUGUCCACGUCAUUGCAAUCACCGGGGGUGUUAAUUGGCACCCGGGCGGAUGCUGCUCGCAGCGAGACCGAAGUCCAAAUUGCCUUGCUGCGACCGCUCCAUCCGUGGAAGCCGACACUUGUCCUCAGAGGUCCUCCUUCCAGGUCAGAGCUGAGCAGAGCUCCUGGACCUUUGUGGAGAUGAUCUCUAGGUCACCGUGCUGGGGGCACAGCACCCACACUGGGCUCCAGACGAGCGGGGGCCUUCGUUUCCUCUUUUCAACUAGCAAAUAGAUAAAUGAACACAAUAGCCCCUCUAUCUACUUGUGGAAAAUACUCGUAAAACCGAUAAUUAGAUAAUUGUCUGCUGGAGCCCAUAGUCAUGACAAAAAGUGUUCUCGGAAAUAUUUUUUGAGCAAUGAGGGCCGAAAACAUCAUUCCUACCUCGGGUCAGAGGUAACAGCCAAAAACCUUGGAUGCAGUGAGAGAGGCUGUUAACUCCCCCUGCUCACAUUUGCUCCAUUAGCCUACACAAAUACUCAGUAAAGACUUUCCCGACACCACACCACUGUUAGGCUUCAGGUUGUAUUUCAAAAACGUCACUAAUAACCAAAGCUCUUGAUUAUUUUGAAAACUUCCAGCAACCUUUUCCCUUUGUAUAUCUUUGUUUCCAAGUGUAAAUUACUGGAAUUAGAAAUGCAACUUUGUGAAACCGCCUAUAAUGGACUGAUGUAAUUGGCUUGAAACAAUCCGUAGGUUAAAAUUGUUAACGAUGGUAAGAAGGGGUUCUUGUGCUACGAGGGAGGUGAAAGUAGGGUUGAGGAAGAGAGAGCAUAGAGAGAUUGCUGCAGGGAUGAAUCCUCCCCAGGCUGUUGAUAAGGCUCACGCAGGCUUUUGUGUUCUUGCUGCUUUUUUUCCCUUUCUUGAUAAAAUCAGAUGUAGAGAAAGGCUCAGCUGGACCUUCAUACUGUGUGGAACGUGUCGUGCAAUGCCACCACUUACGCUUUUCUUAAUAAAUCCCGCUCAGAUUCA